UACAGAGGGGGCAAGCGUUGUCCGGAAUCAUUGGGCGUAAAGCGCGCGUAGGCGGCCCUGUAAGUCCGUUGUGAAAGUCAAAGGCUCAACCUUUGAAAGCCGAUGGAUACUGCAGGGCUAGAGUCCGGAAGAGGCGAGUGGAAUUCCUGGUGUAGCGGUGGAAUGCGCAGAUAUCAGGAGGAACACCAAUAGCGAAGGCAGCUCGCUGGGACGGUACUGACGCUAAGGCGCGAAAGCGUGGGGAGCGAACAGG
rnacentral:rRNA from 1 species